rnacentral:lncRNA from 1 species
GUUUCGUCCGGUUGCCGAACCGAAAGCCGAGUGACGCCACGGCCAUCACACCGGCGCGCACGCUGGCUCUUGCGCGCGUGCGGCCACGGAAGCUGAUGGGCGCUCGGUCGCGUGGACGCGAGGGCUGCGUGAGGAAGGAGGAAGACGACGACGAUCGACCACUUGUCCCGCAAACGGUCGCCCCUGCCACGCGAGCUUGCUUGAUGGAUGAAUGGAGGGACGCAAGCAGAUCGGUUGCGAGGAUGUCCAUUAGCG